rnacentral:rRNA from 1 species
AGAGUUUGAUUUUGGCUCAGAAUUAACGCUGGCGGCAUGGUUAAGAUAUGUAAGUUGAAUGGACUAUUUUGAAGAGUAAUCGGAUUUAUAGUUAGUGGUGAAAGGGUGAGGACAUGAUAGGUAACGUAUUUUGGGUUUUGGAAUAGCUCAUCGAAAGGUGGGGCAAUGUCGAAUGAUGUCAUCUGUUUAAUACAGGUGACUAAAGAUUUAUCGGCCCUUGAGCGGCCUAUUUCCUAUCAGUUUGUUGGUGAGGUAAUGGCUCACCAAGGCGAUGAUGGGUAGCGGGACUGAGAGGUUGACCCGCCACAUCGGAACUGAGAUACUGUUUGGACCUCUACGGAGGGCUGCAGUAACGAAUAUUGGGCAAUGGGCGAAAGCCUGACCCAGCAAUGCCGCGUGUAGGAUGAAGUUUUUCGGAGUGUAAAUUAUUUUCAGGGAUUAGAAAGUUAUGGUUGAUUAAUCCUAGAAGAAGUCACGGCUAACUUCGUGUUAGUAGUUGUGGUAAUACGAAGGUGGCAAGCGUUAUUCGAAAUCACUGGGCUUAAAGGGCGCGUAGGCGGAUAUGUAAGUGUUAGGUGAAAUUCCUUGGUUUAACCGAGGAAUUGUUUAGUAAACUACAUGUCUUGAGGCAAGUAGGGGUGUGUGGAACUCUUGGUGGAGCGGUGGAAUGUGUAGAUAUCAAGAGGAACGUUGAAGGUGAAGAUAGCACAUUGGACUUGUAUUGAUGCUGAGGCGCGAAAGCGUGGGGAGUGAACAGGAUUAGAUAUCCUGGUAGUCCACGCUGUAAACGAUGUAUACUAGGUCGCGGAGGUUUUGAUACCGUUGCGGUCGUAGCAAAAGUGUUAAGUAUACCGCCUGGGGAGUACGGUCGCAAGGCUAAAACUUAAAGGAAUUGACGGGGGCUCACACAAGCGGUGGAGCAUGUGGAUUAGUUUGAAACAAUGUGUAGAACUUUACCUGGGUUUGAUAUGUAUGGAUGCCUAUUUGGAAAUAGAGUUGGCUGCCUUUGGGUGAAACUUACAUAGGUGUUGUAUGGCUGUUGUCAGCUCGUGUUGUGAGAUGUUGGGUUGAGUCUUUUAACGAGCGAAACCCUUACCGUUAGUUGCCAGUGUGUUAUGGCGGGGAUUUUAGCGGGACUGCCGGUGUUAAACCGGAGGAAGGCGGGGAUGACGUCAAGUCUUUAUGGCCUUUAUGCCCAGGGUUUUACACGUGCUAUAAUGGCAGGUAUAAAGCGAUGCGAUACCGUGAGGUGGAGCAAGUCGCAAGAAACCUGCCCCAGUUCAGAUUGCAGGUUGAUAAUUCGCCUGCAUGAAGGUGGAAUCGCUAGUAAUCGCGUAUUAGUGAUGACGCGGUGAACGUGUUCCUGAGCCUUGUAUACACCGCCCGUCAAAUCACGGGAGUUGGGAGUACCCGAAGUCGGAUUGUUAGUUUGUAAAAGAGGUGUUUGCCGAUGGUAAGUCCGAUGACUGGGAUUAAGUUGAAAUAAGGUA